rnacentral:tRNA from 1 species
GGCCCAUUAGCUCAGUUGGUUAGAGCGUCGUGCUAAUAAAGCGAAGGUCGUGGGUUCGAUCCCCCCAUGGGGCC